rnacentral:rRNA from 1 species
AACGAACGCUGGCGGCAUGCCUAACACAUGCAAGUCGAACGAGACCUUCGGGUCUAGUUGCGCACGGGUGCGUAACGCGUGGGAACCUUCCCUUAGGUUCGGUAUAACUUUCCGAAAGGGGUGCUAAUACCGGACAAUUUCUUCGGACCAAAGAUUUAUCGCCAUGGGAUGGGCCCGCGUUGGAUUAGCUAGUUGGUAGGGUAAAAGUCUACCAAGGCGAAGUUCCAUAGCUGGUCUGAGAGGAUGAUCAGCCACACUGGGAGUGGGACACGGCCCAGACUCCUACGGGAGGCAGCAGUGGGGAAUAAUGGACGAUGGGCGAAAGACUGAUCCAGCAAUGCCGCGUAAGUGAUGAAGGCCUUAGGGUUGUAAAGCUCUUUUAACCGGGAUGAUAAUGACAGUACCGGGAGAAUAAGCUCCGGCUAACUCCGUG